GAGGGGGAGGGGUAGUGGGUUUUUUUUGUUUGUGGUUUGUUUUUGUUUUUGUUUUUUUUUUCUUCUUGCAAUGGAAAGUUAUCAUGCAAGAUUUUCUUUGAUUUCUGGGGCUGGCAAUUAGUGAAGUUGAAUAAGAAUCUUUAGGCCAAUGGAGUACUUAUGUUAUCUGGACAUCUCUGGCAGAGAAUGACAGCUGCAUUGCUGCAUGUUGCUGACCUUCCCUGCAGUGCUGAUCUUUAAGAGAAAGUGCUCUUCCUUUCUUUUACUGUUCAGUCCUUUGCCCAAGGCUACUUGUCAGGGGGACAUUAACUUCUGCAAUUCACCUGUGAAUCUUCCAAUGUCCUCCCAUGGAACUUUGAUUUUCUUCACAUCCAUAUUUCCUUGCUUUUAUAAAGUUUGCGUAAGGCACUGAGAGUGAAGCAUGGUCACGUUCCACACUUAGAAAACUAACUUGUGUUGCCGUGUCUGCAUACCUAAAUGUGUAAUAAUUCACGAUUGCUCACAGCAAAUUGUUUAAGGGCCCUAUAAGCAAUUUCAAGAUCUCUUGUGACCACAGAUCCUGUCUCAGCUGGAAAUGGGAAUCUGUGCUAAGGAGAACUGACGUUGAACAGCACACAUUUGCCCUAUAUUUGCUGUUAUUGACAAAGAAGCUUAAUAUAUAGAAAUGAAGUAUAUACUUUCACAAGGUCAGCUUCUUUUGAAUUGGCUCCUUUGAGGCCUCCAGUGGGCUGCAUUUUUUGUUUAUCAUAUUGUGCCUUAUUGUGAUUUUGUACAGUGUUUUUUGCAUCAUUAAAAAUUUGUAUGAAGUUGGGUAAGUUUAAUAGUAUAAGCAAGGCAUUUGAGAUAGCCCUACAAUGGGAAAAUUCCUCUAAUGUGUAAUGCAAGACUGUCAGCCACUCCCACAUAUUUGAAGCAAUUUCCAUUCCUCUCUAAGCCUGGAUAAAGCAGCUGUAAGUGAGGCAUUCCUUCCCAACAGUGUAGAAGUGGGAUACUGAGGCUAAUUUUUUUGAGAAACUUGGUUACUAGUGAGGCAACAUGUUCAGACAGAGCAAGUCAAGUACUUGUUCAGAAGAGCAGGUCCUCUGCGUAUCCUGGAAUUGGAUGACUUCAUGCGCAUGUGGUUCCUCAGGAAAAAAGCUGCUUGUGCUGUUAAGUACUGGUGGGAGAGGAGACAUGGAAAGGAGUCAGCUCCUUGGGCCUUGUUCUUUGUUCCAGUCUGCUCUCCAGAUCUCUGGACAUGAUUCCUGGGCAGCAGCGUGUGGGCUGCCUUAACGAUGCUGGGAGCAUGACUGCUGUGUGUGGGAAGGUGGAAGGCGUGAAAGAGAAGUACAGAUGCUCUUGUACAUGGCUGAAGAACUGUCAUUUCUAUCGUUAAGAUGUGAGAGGUGCGAACUGUCUACAUGCGGCAGGCGUGGAGCUGAAGUGUGCAGGUGAAUCUUGACAGCUGUUAAGAAAUACCCAUUCUCCAUUCUCUACUGGUAGUGCUGGCAGGAGACGGAGAAAGAUGGGCCUCACACUACUGGAUUCCACGGCAAGUAAGCAUUUACUGAUUUCCCAUGGACUUCCAGAAGGUAUGCAAACCUCUGCUGCAGAGCUGGAAUAUUACUGGAAUCAAUAUUAAAGCUCAAGUAUGGUAUUGCAUUACAAGCUACUACAGCUUAAACCCUUCUUUGCUUUAAAUUUAGGACUGUUACAUCAGAUGCCUGAUCUUCAGGUUGCUGAAGAUGCAGGGCUGGAAAGAUGGUAGUUAAAUGGCAGUUAAAGGUGUGAAAUUUGGGGUAGUUUCUUGUCCAGGACAUGGUGGAGCACGUGCCAAUCAGCAUUAAUCCAGUUUUAGCAAAUCAUGCAGAAAUGUGUACUAUGGAGCAAAACUCUAACCUGCCCUUCAAAGUGGGGGUCCAGAACUAGGUUACUUGGCUGACAUGCUUCCUGUGGAGAAAGUCAGAACAUCUUCUAAGUCCAAAUGGGUGUGAUUAAAAUCUCUCUUAGUUAAGGAUAGGUUAGGAUUUUUCAAAGUGAAAUGCAACAUCAGGCCCAAAGCAGCUACUGCAAAAUUAGGGGGACAGCAAACUAAAUUACUUCAAGGGGUUAUAUUUUUAUUCCUAUAAACACAGAGAACUUAACUGCAUUGAUUCUUUGCAGAAAACAUGUAGGAAAAUGUUUUUUUAUUUUGACAAGUGGAUAAGAUGCAGGCAAAUGGUGGGAAAGAACUGGUGUGAAAGGUACAUCCUUGUUUCUGCAUGGAACAUAAAUCAAAAUGACUCAUAGUCCCUGUGCAAUGCAACAUACCUGCCCAAGCUAGAGUGAAAUUGUAGGCUCAUGAGCUGGCCAAAACUUUAUUAUAAGUGAAGAAGCAUGCCUGAAAAAGAAUGACUACUGUUUUUAAAAUGUGUGGUUUUAUACAGCCCCUUUGUAGUCAUCAGAUCCAAUUCAGCUAGGUGCAAGUGAUGUAACCCUGCUAAACAGUGCUUGUUUGUUGUUCUUCAGUUGUAAAUAGGUCCUUCCUCUGAGCAGCUUGACUUCUUCAUGGUUUCCUUGAGAGUGAUGACUGCCUGCCAGAAGCUAUUAAAAUCAAACAAGGAAGUAAGAAACAAACAUAAUCCAACAGAGGCCAUAAGGAAGAUGGAUGUUUUAGCCAAGCAAACAAACAGAAAAGGAACUAUGGAAAUUUUCAAGCCAAUUUAAAAUAAAUUAUUUAACAUACUUGAAAUGAUUAAGAUGAUUAAAGGAUUGCAGCAGCUGUCAA